ACGGCUGUGGCUCAGUUGGUAGAGUGGGUUGUCCACACUAACCGUAGGGUUGGCGGUUCGAUUCCGGCCUCGGGUG